rnacentral:rRNA from 1 species
CCACGCCCUAAACGAUGUAUACUAGUUGUUGGAACGCUAGUCGUUUCAGUAAUGCACUUAACGGAUUAAGUAUACCGCCUGGGGAGUACGGUCGCAAGAUUAAAACUCAAAGGAAUAGACGGGGACCCGCACAAGCGGUGGAGCAUGUGGUUUAAUUCGAAGAUACGCGAAGAACCUUACCCGGACUUGAUAUCUAACAAAUCUUUUAGAGAUAAAAGAGUGUCUGCUUGCAGAAAUGUUAAGACAGGUGCUGCACGGCUGU